rnacentral:rRNA from 2 species
GGUAGAAUUCCAGGUGUAGCGGUGAAAUGCGUAGAGAUCUGGAGGAAUACCGGUGGCGAAGGCGGCCCCCUGGACAAAGACUGACGCUCAGGUGCGAAAGCGUGGGGAGCAAACAGGAUUAGAUACCCUGGUAGUCCACGCCGUAAACGAUGUCUACUUGGAGGUUGUGCCCUUGAGGCGUGGCUUCCGGAGCUAACGCGUUAAGUAGACCGCCUGGGGAGUACGGCCGCAAGGUUAAAACUCAAAUGAAUUGACGGGGGCCCGCACAAGCGGUGGAGCAUGUGGUUUAAUUCGAUGCAACGCGAAGAACCUUACCUGGUCUUGACAUCCACAGAACUUUCCAGAGAUGGAUUGGUGCCUUCGGGAACUGUGAGACAGGUGCUGCAUGGCUGUCGUCAGCUCGUGUUGUGAAAUGUUGGGUUAAGUCCCGCAACGAGCGCAACCCUUAUCCUUUGUUGCCAGCGAUUAGG